UUUCGCGGGAAUUAAGAGUAUAUGGAGGAUGCCUAGACAUAAAGAAGCGAUGAAGGACGUGGCGUGACUGCGAUAAACUCCGGGGAAGUGUCAAGCAACUUGUGAUCCGGAGGUGUCCGAAUGAGGAAACUCAUCUCGACAAACUCGAGAUACCUGUCCAACAUUUUGUACCUUGUAAUCUAUGAGCUGGGCCGAAAGGGCCGACGCGCGUGUUCAUUCGGUUUAUCCCCCAGGGAUUCCGAUAGAACAGGAUGUAUGUGCGGCUUGGAAGAAAUUCCAGCCCAGCUCACCAGUUUUUACAGGAUAUAAAAUGUUGGACGGGGGCGUACCCAGUGAAGUGAAACAUCUCAGUAACUGGAGGAAAAGAAAAAAAUCACAAAGUUAUAUUUUUUCCAAUCUGACGCAAGUCAAUUGGAGAGAAUAUUACUUUGUAUAUUCCCUUAGUAGCGGCGAGCGAAGAGGGAAGAGCCCAAACUUGAGCGUUCAGUAGUUUACUACAAGACGUUUGAGGGUUGCAGGGCACAUGCGUCUGUUGCCGCAAGGUAGCAGCAAAGCCAAUCAAGUUUUUGAUAGUUAAUCGAAUCUCAUGGAAAGGAGAGCCAUAGCGGGUGAUAGCCCCGUAGGUGAAAAUUAUCAAAACGCUUUGAGUAUGUGUUCCUAAGUAAUACGGGGAACGACAACCCCGUGUGAAUCCGGGAGAACUACUCUCCCAAGGCUAAAUAUUCUUUAUGAUCGAUAGUGAACAAGUACCGUGAGGGAAAGGUGAAAAGAACCCCGAUGAGGGGAGUGAAAUAGAACUGAAACCAUAUACUUACAAAGAGUGGGAGCCUUGGCGCAAGCCCGGGUGACCGCGUGCCUCUUGGAGAAUGAGCCAACGACUUUAUGUAUAUUGCUUGUCUAACCGCUUUGGCGGGAAGGCGAAGGGAAACCGAGUCUGAACAGGGCGUUUUGCGCUUCUCUAUCGUUCAUCGCGCAAGUCCGCAAGGAUUUCGCGUGAGCGAUAGCGAAGUGCGCUGCAGUAUGCAUAAGACCCGAAACCAGAGCGAGCUUACCAUGACCAGGGUGAACUUCACUUAACCGUGAAGGGAGGCCCGAACCGGUAUGCCGUACAAAACAUUCGGAUGAGUUGUGGUAAGAAGUGAAAAGCUUAUCGAGCCUGGAAAUAGCUGGUUCUCCCCGAAAUAGCUUUAGGACUAGCCUCACGUGUUUAUGAGUGGAGGUAGAGCACUGGAUGAGUCUGAAUGACGCAAGUUGUCAGACCCAAUCAAACUCCGAAUUCCGCUCAACAUAACGUGGGAGUAAGACUGUGGGGGCUAAGCUCCAUAGUCAAAAGGAGAAGAAUCCUGAUCACCAUUUAAGGUCCCUAAAUUUACGCUAAGUGAAAAAAGGAGGUGAGAUUUCGUAGACAGCUAGGAGGUUGGCUUAGAAGCAGCCACCCUUUAAAGAGUGCGUAACAGCUCACUAGUUUAGAGAUCUUGCGCCGAUAAUAUAACGGGGCUAAGCGUAGUACCGAAAAUGUGGACUUAUAGACUUCGGUCUAUAAUUGGUAGGGGAGCGUUCCCAUCUGCUGUGAAGGUGAAGUGUGAACUUUGCUGGAGCGUUGGGAAGUGCGAAUGUUGGCAUAAGUAACCGCAAUACCGGUGAAAGUCCGGUACACCGAAAACCCAAGGAUUCCUUGGCAAUGACAAUCAACCAAGGGUUAGUCGCGCCUAAGGUGAUGCAGAGAUGCGUAACCGAUGGACAGCAGGUUAAUAUUCCUGCACCACAUACACAAUCGAUGGAGAGACACUAAAGAGUACGUUGAUCGUAUUAUUGGAUUUACGUUCUUUGUCCGACGAAGUCUGCUAGGUAAAUCCGGCAGAUCCUUUUAAUGGGACUUCAGAUGGAUCGAGAAAAUGUUCAUAGCAAUAUGGAUAAAUUCAACGGAGCAUUUGGUCGAGAAAAUCUUCUAAGAAUAUUGUGUGUGUGCGCGUACCGCAAAACCGACGCAGGUGGGUAGGUCGAGAAGACCUAGGUGAACGAGUGAGGGUUCGUUAAGGAACUCGGCAAAAAAGCGGCCGUAAGUUCGCGAUAAGGCCUGCCCUACGUAAGUAGGGCCGCAGCUAAAGUAUCUCUGGCGACUGUUUAUCAAAAACACAGCUCCCUGCUAACUCGCAAGAGGAUGUAUAGGGGGUGACGCCUGUCCGGUGCUGGAACGUUAACGGUGGAUGUAUAUGUUUACGCAAGUAGGUGUAUGCUAUCGCCCGAAGCGCCAGUGAACGACAGCGAUAACUAUAAUCGUUCUAAGGUAGCGAAAUUCCUUGUCUGGUAAGUUCAGACGCGCACGAAUGGCGUAACGACUGGAGAACUGUCUCAACGAAUCGCUCGGUGAAAUUACAGUGAGGGUGAAGAUGCCCUCUUCCUGCAGUUAGACGAAAAGACCCCGGGAGCUUUACUGUCUCUUGUUAUUGUGAUGCGAUUUCUCCUGCGUAGCGUAGGCGGUAGACUUUGAAGUCUUGCUUUCGGGUGAGAUGGAGUCGCCAAUGAAACACCGCUCUUGAGUGGUUGCAUUACUAACCUGUCGUAAAAAAAGACGAUGGGAACAGUGGCUGGUGGACAGUUUUAGUGGGGCGCUAGCCUCCCAAAUGGUAACGGAGGCGUUUAUAAGGUCGGUUAGGUCCGGAUGGAAAUCGGACCGAUAGUGUAAAGGCAAAAACCGGCUUUACUGCAAGACGGACAUGUCGCGCAGUUGCGAAAGCAGAACUUAGUGAACCGACGCUACAUCGUAGGAUGGGCGAAGAUUAUCGGAUAAAAGCUACCCCGGGGAUAACAGGCUAGUCUUGCCCAAGAGUUCAUAUCGACGGCAAGGUUCGGCACCUCGAUGUCGGCUCGUCGCAUCCUGGGGGUGGAGAAGCUCCCAAGGGUUUGGCUGUUCGCCAAUUAAAGCGGCACGUGAGCUGGGUUCAAACCGUAGAGUAGUGAAAAGUAAUAAGUAAAAAGUUUAAAGUCGAAAGUGGAAAGUCAGUCCGAAUGCAUUUGCAUUUGAAUUAACUUUUAACUUUCUACCUUCAACUUGCAACUUUCCAUUUUUGACUAUUGUACCGUUUGAGCCCGAGGAAUUAGACAUCGUUCAUGGCGGCGCUCAGCAGUAAUGUUGGGUGAGAAGUUGACUCAUAUCGGUGAAACCCAUUUUGGGCAAUACCGAGGGAAGUUUUAUAAUUAUGAUUUCAUGAUUAUCUAAAACACCCGUAGAGACUACACGUCAACUAUCCUGUGUAAAACAGGAUAAUGGUAUAGUCCAAUCCACGUAGCAAUACGUGACGUAGAUGCGUGAGACAGGUUGGUCUCCUAUCUACUGCAGGCGCAGAGACUUGAGGGGCGUUCUCUCUAGUACGAGAGGACCGAGAGGAACAGACCGCUGGUGUACCAGCUGUCCCGCCAGGGGCAACGCUGGGUAGCUACGUCUGGAAGUGAUAAGAGCUGAAAGCAUCUAAGCUCGAAACAUCCCCCGAGAUUAGGUCUCAUUGGAAGUGAUUCCUGAAGGAUCGUGGAAGAUUACCACGUUGAUAGGUUGCAGCUGGAAGCACAGUAAUGUGUUGAGGCGAGCAAUACUAAUUAUCCAAUCCCGCGAAAAC
rfam:Candidatus Azambacteria bacterium RBG_16_47_10 RBG_16_scaffold_10926, whole genome shotgun sequence.